rnacentral:rRNA from 1 species
UCCCGGGGGGUUGACCGAGUGGCGGACGGGUGAGUAAUGUCUGGGAAACUGCCUGAUGGAGGGGGAUAACUACUGGAAACGGUAGCUAAUACCGCAUAACGUCGCAAGACCAAAGAGGGGGACCUUCGGGCCUCUUGCCAUCAGAUGUGCCCAGAUGGGAUUAGCUAGUAGGUGGGGUAACGGCUCACCUAGGCGACGAUCCCUAGCUGGUCUGAGAGGAUGACCAGCCACACUGGAACUGAGACACGGUCCAGACUCCUACGGGAGGCAGCAGUGGGGAAUAUUGCACAAUGGGCGCAAGCCUGAUGCAGCCAUGCCGCGUGUAUGAAGAAGGCCUUCGGGUUGUAAAGUACUUUCAGCGGGGAGGAAGGUGUUGUGGUUAAUAACCGCAGCAAUUGACGUUACCCGCAGAAGAAGCACCGGCUAACUCCGUGCCAGCAGCCGCGGUAAUACGGAGGGUGCAAGCGUUAAUCGGAAUUACUGGGCGUAAAGCGCACGCAGGCGGUCUGUCAAGUCGGAUGUGAAAUCCCCGGGCUCAACCUGGGAACUGCAUUUCGAAACUGGCAGGCUAGAGUCUUGUAGAGGGGGGUAGA